rnacentral:ncRNA from 2 species
AUUUGAAAUAUUAUUCGAUGAGAUUAUUCUAAAUUCAGAUUUAGCGAGGAACUCCGUGAAAUCCGGAGGCGGUCGCGCCACUGUGAUAUGGUAAGCAAGUCGAACCAUAAAGCCAGACCUUCGCUGAAGACAGGUAAUGG